rnacentral:rRNA from 1 species
CGCAGCUUACACAUGCAGUCGAGCGGUAACAGGGGGUGCUUGCACCCCGCUGACGAGCGGCGGACGGGUGAGUAAUGCAUAGGAAUCUGCCCAGUAGUGGGGGAUAGCCCGGGGAAACCCGGAUUAAUACCGCAUACGCCCUUUGGGGGAAAGCAGGGGAUCUUCGGACCUUGCGCUAUUGGAUGAGCCUAUGUCGGAUUAGCUAGUUGGUGGGGUAAAGGCCUACCAAGGCGACGAUCCGUAGCUGGUCUGAGAGGAUGAUCAGCCACAUCGGGACUGAGACACGGCCCGAACUCCUACGGGAGGCAGCAGUGGGGAAUAUUGGACAAUGGGGGCAACCCUGAUCCAGCCAUGCCGCGUGUGUGAAGAAGGCUUUCGGGUUGUAAAGCACUUUCAGUGAGGAGGAAAACCUUCUGGUUAAUACCCAUGAGGCUUGACGUUACUCACAGAAGAAGCACCGGCUAACUCCGUGCCAGCAGCCGCGGUAAUACGGAGGGUGCAAGCGUUAAUCGGAAUUACUGGGCGUAAAGCGCGCGUAGGUGGUUUGAUAAGCGAGAUGUGAAAGCCCCGGGCUUAACCUGGGAACGGCAUUUCGA